rnacentral:rRNA from 1 species
CCUACGGGGGGCUGCAGUGAGGAAUAUUGGUCAAUGGACGGAAGUCUGAACCAGCCAUGCCGCGUGCAGGAAGACGGCUCUAUGAGUUGUAAACUGCUUUUGUACAAGGGUAAACCUGAAUACGUGUAUUCAGCUGAAAGUACUGUACGAAUAAGGAUCGGCUAACUCCGUGCCAGCAGCCGCGGUAAUACGGAGGAUCCAAGCGUUAUCCGGAUUUAUUGGGUUUAAAGGGUGCGUAGGCGGGUUGAUAAGUUAGAGGUGGAAUGUCCGAGGUUAACUUGGGAACUGCCUCUAAUACUGUUGAUGUAGAGAGUAGAUGCGGUAGGCGGAAUGUAUGGUGUAGCGGUGAAAUGCUUAGAGAUCAUACAGAACACCGAUUGCGAAGGCAGCUUACCAAUCUAUAUCUGACGUUGAGGCACGAAAGCGUGGGGAGCAAACAGGAUUAGAUACCCGGGUAGUC